UGCUCCUCUGUGGCUAUGUAUCUUCCUCGUGAUCUUCAGGAGUUGCAUGGAAAGGUCUGGCAUCUGCUUCUUCCCAUGCCAUGACUGCCAGCUUCCUCUGCCUCUUCCUGGUACUCUUCUUCCCCUUCCUCAUCUGAAAAGUCCUCUUCCAGGAUCCUAUGCCUAUUCUUUCCAUGUUGUUUCUUCCUCUGGCACCAAAUUUUUGGGGCAUGAAUUAAUGCUCAAGAACAUACGGACUGAGUUUCUUUCCUCGCCCUACCUUGGAAAUUAGAUCUUAUGGUUGUCAGUCUGCCAGCAGCUGGACCCUGACCAGAAUGAUACUGAAGAUGGCAAUGAUGAAAAC